rnacentral:lncRNA from 10 species
GUCCCCAAGUAAUACGGGUGCUGCUGGUUGGGAGAUCCCACUUUCGAAUCGCAGGUUCACUCUACAGUCCCAUUGUUAACUUAUAAAACUCUUCCUCUCUAGUUCUUCUUUUUGUAAAGGUGUGUCCUGAGGAACCUCAGAUUUGAAAGAAGAGUGAAUGGAAGUCAAAUGUGGAAACCACUCAAAUGUCCAUCAACUGAUGAAUGAAUAAACAAAUCAUGGUAUAUCCAUACAAGGAAUAUUAUUCACCCAUAAAAAGGAAUGAAGUCUUAAUACACCUACAACUGGAUGAACAUUGAAAACAUUAUGCUAUCCAUUCUGCUUCAGACCGGAAAGGAGAAACAGUCUAAACUGCAUGAAAGUCCUGGUACUGCUGUAUCUCGUACUAUAAGUUCAGUUUUCUCCCUUCACCUGAGGGUAAGUUGAAGAAUAACUUCAUAAGCCAGGGAGAGAUACGUUUGGAUCAGGAGUUAGUGAUAACAGGUGAGCCCAAUAAUAAU